UGAAAGAAGAGGUGACAGAAGGAAGGGGGAUAGGUAGACAGACUGAGAAUGAAUGAAAAUGCUACAUUUCCAGCUUUGAAGAUGGAGGAAGGCACCUUAAGCCAAGGGAUGGAGGCACCGUCUAGAAGCUGGAAAAGCUGAAAGGAGUCAUGUGACCCAGUCCUGGCCAAUGAGAUGAGCAGAAGUCACUGAUGGCGCUUCCUGAGCCUCCUUUAAAGCAGCUAGACACUGGAGCUUUUAUCUUUUGCCCUUUGCUCUCACUUGCCUUCUUGACUGGAAUGCAGAUGUGAUGCUCAGAGAUGCAGCUGUCGUUUUGUAACCCUGACCUUGAAAGCCUCACACUAAGGAUGAGAACAGAAAUAGAGAAGGAGCCUAUGUUCUUGAAGACAUCCUUAAACAACUACACUAGCCCCACCUCCUGACUUCUUAGGUGAAAAUAAUAAACACCCUGAUAUGGUUUGGAUCUAUGUCCCCACCCAAAUCUCAUGUUCAAUUGUAAUUCCCAGUGUUGGAGGUGGGGUCUGGUGGGAGGCAAGUUGAUCAUGGGAGCCUUUUCUCAUGAAUCAUUUGACCCCAUCCCCCUUGGUCCUGUUGUUUCAAUAGUGAGUGAAUUCUUGCAUGAUCUGGUUGUGUAAAAGUGUGUGACACCUCCUCCUUCACUCUCUUGCUUCUGCUCCCACCAUGUGAGAUGCCUGCUCCCGCUUUGCCCUCUGCCAUGAUUGGAAGCUUCUCAAGGCCUCCCCAGAAGCAGAAGCUGCUAUGCUUCCUAUACAGGCCGCAGAACUGAGCCAAUGAAACCUCUUUUCUUUGUAAAUUACCCAGUCUCAGGGAUGUCUUUAUAGCAAUGUGAGAAUAGCCUAAUACACCCCCCGUUUGGUUAAGCAGUUUGGAAAGUCUGGAAAAGUUUCUGAAAUAAACAGUUGAACACAAUCCCACGGGAAGCACUACCUAGCCUCUGUGAAGUCUAUUGUAUGAAUUCAAUUCAGUGCAGGUAUUAGGAGAGAGCCUACUGUUACAAGCAGAGGCAGGAAAGGAAAUAAUGACAAGUUCAUGUCCCCCAUCUUGUGGGCAAAACACUAAGAUACAUAACCUGCUCUAGGGCCGGGCACAGUGGCUCACGCCUGUAAUCCCAGCACUUUGGGAGGCCGAGGUGGGUGGAUCAUGAGGUCAGGAGACCGAGACCAUCCUGGCUAACAUGGCGAAACCCUGUCUCUACUAAAAAUACAAAAAAUUAGUUGGAUGUGGUGGCGGGUGCCUGUAGUCGCAACUA
rnacentral:lncRNA from 10 species